rnacentral:rRNA from 1 species
GUCUGCAGCCAUACCACCCUGAGUGUACCUGUUCUAGUCUGAUCUCAGAAGCUAAGUAGGGUCGGGUCUGCUUUAUACU